AAUUCCUCCUUAUCUCAUCUCCAAGUGAGACAGCGCGUUUACGACUGUACCACAAACCUUGGCUCCUCCAGCCUAUUUAAACACCGGCCCCCUCUCAAGAAUUCAUUUCUCAUCUGGUAGUCGUGCUCUCCCUCACCAUCAGCCCUUCUCCUCUUCCUCGAUACUUCUCUGCAUAACCAUGGCCAUGGAGCAAGAAAUUAACUGCCUAAUACUUGAUGAGCUCUAGUUGUCCUUGUUUUUUUUUGUUUUUUGCGGGUGUCAAGUUUCUCACGCCUGAAAAUACUGCAGAUCUCGACGACACGCUGUAUCCCAAGUCGUCCGGCAUUUCCCCCUAGUGGGGAAAACUAUCGAAGCUUACAUGAAUCAGAAGUUAGGAAUGGAGAUGAACAAAGUGGCCAGUCUAUGCUCGCUCCUAUACAUAAACUAUGGAACAACUCUUGCUAGCCUCCUGCUUUGUUCAUGCAAGAAGACUGCUAUACGACAAGAUCAAGCCCGACCCAGUUCUCAAGAACAUGCUGCAGAGCAUGCGCAUCUGCAAGCCGAUAUUCACCAACAGCGACAUGGACCAUACCAAGAUAAUGCUCGAGAGGCUGGGUCUCAAGGACUGCUUUACCGGCGGUAUUAUCGGCUUCGAAACACUGAACAAGAUAAUCCUCGUGCCAUUUUUACUCUCCC